rnacentral:lncRNA from 1 species
GUCACUGGGAUUAUACAUGUGCUCCACCACACCCACAUGGACUAUUGUUUUCUCAAAUGUGUUUCCCAGGCCCUGCUCCAGAGAUUUGAUCUCCAUAUUGGAGGGGGGAUCCAGAGACCUGCAAGUCAUCAUUCAUCUCCAGAGCCUCCCAGCCUCCUCAGAAAGACCUGCUCCUGACAGUUGCUAUCUUAGCACACCUCUGGUACUGUUUUGCAGGUGUUUAUUUAAGCUGCUCGUCCCAUGUUGAGCCUUGGAUUCAUUCUGCUUUUUGCCAGGCACUGGCCUUAGGGCUGUGGAGUUAGCCAUGAACAUAACUAAGUCCCUACCAGAGGCACUUACAUUCCAGUGUGUCUCUGGUUCCUGAAACCAAAAAAGCUAAUUGUUCAUUAAACGUGAGCCACAUGUAGCUGCAAAGAACAGAUGUGGUGGACACUAGAGUUAAGAUGUCCAGGGCAGGUGAUACUUAGCUUCAAGUGAGGACAGACCAUGUGUUCUAGGGAAGAGAACGUGCAGAUCUCAUUUUGCCCCUAAGCAGAGGCACUCAGAGGCUCCAUCACAGUCCCGUCAGGCCCCACUGUGGCCCCA